rnacentral:lncRNA from 1 species
UCAAUUUAAAUUCACCUUCAACUGAAAAUAGAUUGUUUAGCCACUCAUGGCCAUAAUAAAAUUAUAAAAAUUAAGCAAAAGGAGAAGAAGAAGAAAAGAAGAUGGAGAAGAAUGUGGAGGGCAGCAAGAGAAGAAAUGAGAGUGAGAGGUAGAAUAUGAUUCUCCAGGUUGAAUGCUAAGAGCCUUUAUAUAGGCACAAAAAGAUAAAAUUUAAAAUAAAAUAUAUUAUCCCUAUCUUAUCUCUAUCCUAAUAUGAUCUUUAUCCUCAUUUGAUUGAGUUUGAUUCAAUUUGACUCCACUUGAAACCCAUCGCCUCGAGUUACAGGUUUGGUCAAGGUUGUAGCCUUCCGAUAUAAAAAAUCCUUUAAUUCAACCUUUUUUCUUCCUUUUCUCAACUUCUACUCACAAACCUGUCCAAAAUUAAAUUCAAAUUAAAAUUAAAUAUUUAUAUCAAAAUUACAGUAAAAUUAAUGAAUUAAAUGAGAAAAAAAAUGUGAGUUUUGCAACUCAUCAGAUUCCCCCACACUUGUACGUUUGCUUGUCCUCAAGCACAAAAAUUGAAAUAAAACAAUAAAAUACAGCUCUAUCCUCAACCAAUCUGAAAUUUAAUUUGUCCAAAGCAAAGAACCAAAUUGUCAUGUAAUAGGAUGAUAGCAGCUUAAUUCACCAAAGUUCACUUCAAUAAGUUUCAUAUUUAAAACGUGUUUCUCAAGACAUAAAGUUGGACCUCAAUUUAAUUUCAAGCACAAAAAUAUUAGAAUGUCAUAUAAUAUUAUAUUGCCCUUUUGAAAGAAUAGAAUCUUAGAACUCUUGACUAGACCAAUAAAAUUUAAAUAUUUGGAGGUUUAUUAUUUAUUAUUUACACUUCCUACUAUAUCUUGCUUGAAACCGAUAAAGUGAACGUGAAACAAAUGGUUGCUGAGCCACUCGCCCCAAGUUAUUCAGCUCAGGUGGCUACUAGCUCCACUCAUAAUUACCCAAUAAAAAGGUAUGGGCAAGUUUUUUAAACGGCCCAAAAAGGGGUGAUACUCUUCCAAACACCGAUUUCUCCAUAUGGAAUCACCUUAAGGGGAUACCAAGUAUCGCACUACUUGGAUCAUCGGGUUGGUAACCAAUUGAUCAAGCAACUAGAGUAGUGGGUCAUAGGAGUGCAUUUAUUUCUUUUUUAUUUCUUUUUUUAUUUUUAAUAUAUUUUUUCUCUUUUUUCUUUUUUUUAUGACACCCCUUAAUUUUCACAUAAGUAUAUAGUCUAGAAAAUGUCCUUUAAUUCAUUCUCAACAAAAGGCAGCAACUCAUUUAAAAGAACAUGCAUUCAUUACCCAACUAUUUAAAUAAGGACCAAACUUCAUUAGCUUUCAAAAUAAGUCUUAAAAAUAAAACUAAUAAAAUGAACAAUGAUAAAUUUAUUCUAUUUAAGCUAGCAUACAAAUGGCAUAAUAACUUGUAUUCUACGAUAAAAGACAUAUCAAUUUCUUAUGGCAAGUAAGGAGUUGUAAAAUUUUUAUUUUUUAUUUUCUAUUUUUUUUUUAAAAAUGAUGCUAAUACUAGAAAUCAUAAAAAUUAAAUAUGAGAAACAAUUUAAAGUGCAAGUGCUGAGAAACUGCUGAGAAUCAUAAAAAUAGAAGUGUUUAUAGGCUUGGGCAAGCUUCUAACUCAAACACCAAAAACUCAAAGAAAAAUAGCAGAAAAAGAAUAAAAAUUCCCAAAAAUUUCAGAAUGUUCAUAAAUCAUCAAUCAAUCUCAUCAAUUACAAAAAACUUUAUCCCCAUACCACAUCUCCCCCCACACUUACUCCUCACAUUGUCCUCAAUGUGGAAAAAAUUCAAUUAAACGGGGAAAGUUCACAAAAUAAAAUAAAAGUAAAUCAAAGAGAACUUCCCUUAAGAAUAAGUCGCAUAGAACUCAGGCUGUUGGUGGUUGGGGUAUGGGCAACCCUAAGUGAGAGAGAAUAACAUCCAAUUUGGCAUCCAUAUGGUGCAUUUUUGCCUCAAUUCUGGCUAGGCAGGCUUGAUUACUAGGUUCUAGAGAUGCUGCUGAGGAGGCUGAGGUUGAAGUUGACUGGUCCUCUGUCCGAAAUAAACGCGAUCGUGGUGGAAUGAUAGGACUUGGAGGACAAAACACAAAUUCUUUCCUCUCGUUGAGGCAAAGUAAGUCCAUAGAAUUAAGUGCAGAUAUGUCAAAGUGGAAGAAUAGGCUCAGCUAUAUGUAAAUUAGUGUUUUUAAUAUCAACUACACCCAACCCUACUGCUAGCAUUAAAAUUACAGAACCCAAGUAUAUACCACGCCCAGCAUUAGAUAUACUUUUAAAUUGGGAGGCUAACCAAAAAUCAAAAUUAAUUUUUCUUUUUUUUUUAACAUACACCAUAAGAAGAAGAGUUCAUAUUUUAUGAGUUUAGUUGGAUUUUUAUUUUUUCCAGAAAAUGUGUAACACAGGAACCUGUGAAGGUAUCUAAGGGCAGGGCUCUGAAUAUCAUUAGCUUUAGAUUUCCUACCCUUAAAUUUAAGCUCAGGUUUCCCUGUUAACUCCUUGUAUGCUAAAAUUGGAUCCCAAUCCGCUGGGUAGUCACAUAAUGAAUCUAAAUAUUCAACAGUUUUGACAUAUUCAUUAUCAUAAAUACCCAAGUACAAAUUAAAUGUUGUGAUUGAACAUUGGACCAUUUUAUUUUGCAACCUAAAAUGAAUUGUAGGAAUAUUCAAAUUAAAAUCCUGUACAUCAAAAGAAAACUCAUAGGUUACAUAAAAUUCACGGCAAAGCUCAACAUAGGAGGGACAAUCUAUAACAAAAAAUUUUCUCCAUCCAAUCGGAUCAAUUAAAGCAUAAACUUCAUCAUACAAUCACAAUUGGAUCAAGGUAUCAUCAUUUAUUUUUUUACAAGCAUAAAUAUCAGAAUGGAGAAAAAUUUUAUAUCUCACCUCAUCAUCGCGACAAAGCUAAAAUUGCCAUGAAGGUCUUGCUCUGCAGGUAGAUAUCUGGCCUUUCCACCAGCUAUCCUGGGCAUCCAUUUUUUCUGCUUUUUCUUUGGAGGAGAAUCAACCUGGAUUUCUUCACUGGCACUCGAGGUUGUGUCCUCGCUGCUGUCCUCCGAAGCUUCCACGAUUAAUUUUAUGGUUUUGGAUUGCAUUUUUCGUUCUUGGAGUUGCCUCAGGAUUUCAGGUUUCACCUCCCAUUCUUCCUCUUCAUCACUCAUUAAGUCAUAAAUAGGAACUUUACCUUUCAUAUGUGAAUGCUGGCGCGUGGUUGCAUCUGGCGAGAAAGAAGACGGUGGCGCUGUCAGCGUUGGAGAGAUUACGACCGGCAAGGAGGAACGUGCGGAAGGGGUUGUGACUGGCGAGGAGGAACGCGCGGAAGGGGCUGUGACCGGUGAGGAGGAACGCGGCGAAAGGGGCUGUGAUCAGCGAGUCCACUGGUUUGGUCUAUUUGCGAGGCCUGGUUGCCGCGUCCGAUGAGAUCUUCGUCAUGGUCUGGCGGCGGUGCGAUGAGCGGGCUCCCAAUCGAAGCGACGGAGGCGUGCUCUUAGCGGCGGAGGAAACAACAUGGGAAGAGGCAGCACGGGCCAUCUGCAGGAAAGAGAAGAAAAAAAAAGAAAGAAAAAAAAAAAGAAAAGAUAGAAGAUGAAGAUGAGAGGAGAUAAAAAGAAUUAGGUUUUUUUUUUUAAUUUUUGAAUUAUUAUUAUAUUUUUUUUAUUAUAUAUUUUUUUUAAUUUUUUUAAUUUUUUUAUUAUUAUUAUUUUUAGUAGAAAAUAAGAUAAAGUAGAACAGAACCUACCUUCCUUUGGGAGCAAUUUUAAAAAUAAUAACUUACCUCCAAAAAGAUUCCCUAAAGCCUCGAAUUGCCUAGAAGAUCCAAUCUGCUCAAAAAAUAACAAAUAAAUUAAUUUAAAAUUAAAAAUUAAAAGAAAACUUACUUGUGACUCUACAGGCUUGGGCAAGCCUGUAAUCUUGGGUUGCCUCCCAAGCAGCGCCCUUGUUUAUUGUCCUAGGCUGGACUUUUCUUCCUUCAAUUUCUGAUCUGUGGUACUCCUAGAACCAUAAUUUCUUCAUCUUUAGGCUUGAAUCUCUCAUAGAAGGGUUUGAGUCUAUGACCAUUCACUUUAAAAAUUUUACUAGUUUCAAGACUUUGAAUUUGCACGGCUCCAUGGUUAAAAGUCUUAAUUACAACAAACGGACCAAUCCAUCGUGUCCUCAAUUUUCCUAGAAAAAGUUUUAACCGAGAAUGAAAAAGUAAAACUUUUUGGCCCACCUGAAAAUUUUUCAGAGAAAUUGAUUCAUCAUGAAAAGUUUUGGUUUUCUCCUUGUAAAUUCUGACACUCUUGUAGGGUUCAUUCCUUAUUUCCUCCAGUUCUUGCAAUUGCAACUUUCGAUUAGAACUUGCCUCUAUUAAGCUGUUGUUCCAUUGCUUUAUUGCCCAAAAGGCUUUAUGCUCUAGCUCAACUGGCAAAUGGCAAGACUUGCCAUAAACUAGCCGGAAAGGUGACAUGCCUAUUGGGGUCUUAUAGGCUAUCUUAUAAGCCCAUAGUGCAUCAUCAAGGUGGUUGCUCCAGUUUUUCCUAUUAAUAUUGACAGUUUUCUCUAAGAUCAAUUUAAUUUCCCUGUUAGAAACUUCCGCUUGACCGUUUGUCUGUGGAUGGUAUGCUGUAGAAGUACGAUGAGUUACUCCAUAUUUUCUCAACAAUGAUUCGAUCACCUUAUUGCAAAAGUGGGUUCCUCGAUCACUCACUAGUAGUCGUGGAACUCCAAACCUGACAAAUAUAUGAGUUUUCAAAAAAACAGAAACAACUUUUGAAUCAUUAGUCCUGGUGGCCUUAGCCUUCACCCACUUUGAGACAUAGUCAACAGCAAGCAAAAUGUAUUGAUUUCCAAAUGAAGAAGGAAAUGGACCCAUGAAAUCUAUGCCCCAUACAUUGAAAAUUUCAAUUACCAGUAUAGGUGCAAGGGGCAUCUGGUCUCGAUAUCCUAGGUUACCUGUUCUUUAACAAUUGGAGCAUGCCUUACAAAACAUAUAAGAGUCUUUGAAUAUAUUGGGCCAGUAGAGUCCACAUUCUAACUCUUUCCUUGCUGUCCUCUUUGCUCUAAAGUGCCCUCCACAGGUUUCUAAGUGGCAGAAAUGAAGAAUAGACUUUGUUUCACUUUCUAGGACACAUCUCCUUACUAUUUGGUUAGCACAAAAUUUCCAUAAGUACGACCAUCAGUACGACUCAUUUUCUCUUUCCGGCUUCUUGAAAUUCCUACUGGAAAACUUUUGGUCACCAUAUAGUUUACCAAAUCAGCGUACCAAGGGCUUGUCACCUGUGCAAAAAAUAAUUGUUCGUCAGGAAAUUCAUCUUUUAAAGGGAAUUUAUCUUGGGAUUGAAAUAAAAAACUGAGGUGAUCGGCAACCAAGUUUUCUGAUCCCUUUUUAUCCUUAAUUUCAAGGUCAAAUUCCUGCAACAAUAAAAUCCAACGAAUUAUUCGUGGUUUUGCUUCUUUCUUCUUUAAAAGAUAUCUCAAAGCUGCAUGAUCAGAAAACACAAUUACUUUAGUACCCAACAAAUAUGAUCUAAAUCUUUCUAAGGCAAAGACAAUUGCUAAAAGUUCUUUUUAGUGGUGGUAUAAUUGCUUUGGGCCUUAUAUAAAGUUUUGGAUGCAUAACAUAUUACAUGGGGUUUUUUAUCAAUUCGUUGACCAAGAACAGCUCUUAAAGCAUAAUUACUUGUGUCACACAUUAUUUCAAAUGGAUAAUGCCAAUUUGGUGCUUACAUAAUGGGAGCAGCAACUAGCUUUUCUUUAAGAGUAUCGAAAGCUUCUCUACACUUAUUAUCAAAAUUAAAUGGUACAUCCUUUUGCAAAAGUUUGCACAAUGGUUGAACAAUCCUUGAGAAGUCUUUGAUAAAUCUCCUGUAAAAUCCUACAUGACCAAGAAAAGAUCUAAUAUCUCGUAUAUACGUAGGAUAUGGUAAAUCCUUAAUUACAUCAACCUUGGCCUUAUCAACCUCAAUUCCUCGUUUAGAGACUAUAUAUCCUAAAAUUAAGCCUUGAUCCACCAUGAAGUGGCAUUUUUCAUAAUUUAAGACUAAAUUAGACUCUAGACAUCGUUUUAAGAUGUGUGUGAGGUUAAUUAGACAUUCAUCAAAUGAAUUACCACAAACUGUAAAGUCGUCCAUGAAUACCUCGAUUAUCUUCUCAACAAAUUCCGAAAAUAUACUGACCAUACAUCUUUGGAAAGUUGUUGGUGCGUUGCAAAGCCCAAAAGGCAUCCUUUUAUAGGAAAAAGUGCCAAACGGACAUGUGAAGUCGUCUUCUCUUGAUCUUCUAGGGCCACUGGUAUCUGGUAAAAACCUGAAAAGCCAUCCAAACAACAAAAAUGAGAUUUUCCUGCCAAUCUUUCUAACAUUUGAUCGAUAAAAGGUAAAGGAAAAUGAUCCUUCCUAGUUACUGAAUUCAACUUGCGAUAAUCUAUACAAACCCUUCACCCGUUUUGAACACGAGUGGGAACUAAUUCUCCUUCUGAGUUGGUUCUUGUAAUGACCUGGAAAUCGGACCGCUACCGGCGCUAGGAUCCAGAUCGACUUAAGGUCGUCGGGACCCGUAGCAAGCCUAACAUACAACCAGUCAUAUCUGAUAAUCCCAUACAUGAUCAAACAUUUACAUGAAAAUUUUAAACUUUCCAUUCUACCAAGCUUGACCUGUGCAUGCACCAUACUAUAAACAUAACAUAAACCCCACACAAGAGCCCUCAUCAAAUACUCUAGUGGGACAUCAUAUCAUACAUCAAGCUUGGUCUAACAUAAAUCAUCAUUAAAACAUUUCAUAAGAACAUGUACAAAAGGGAUUUAACAUAACAUUAGGGCCAAGCAUAAUUCUGGACCUCAUAACAUUUAAAUACAAUACUUUACAUUACAAUAUCUUUCAUUAUUUUCUCAUGUCCACAUCUAACUAUUACAUCCACAAAAUCUUUACUCUUGCUGACAUCCUGGUCUAUCUCGAACCUGCAAACCUAGGGGUUAAGGGAAAGGGGUGAGCUACUAGAGCCCAGUGAGCAGAAUAGUAAAACAGUUUAUAAAACAUAUGCUUUCAUGGAAUGCAUCACAUCACAACCAAAUCACAUCAAGAAUGGACUUGUCACCAAUAGUCCUCUACACAUUCCAAUGGUGCCAGGGGCGUAGAAUGGGCCUCACUGGCCUUUCUCUUACUCUGUGCCAGGGGCGUAGAAUGGGUCUCACUGGAUUUCCAUACCGUAUCAUCGUCAUCAUAUCAUACCGAGGACUAAUGGGUCAUCCAACAUCCAUCCACAUCAACAUCAAAGUAUGCAAUGCAACAUAUUCGUGAAUUUUAAUGCAAACAACCUAGUAUAUAUCAUGGCAUUCGUGAUGCAUGAACAUGCUUGAAAUUUAUUUGCUUGAAAACAUAAAGAUCCAUUCUACUCACCUCAGGCUGACUCUGAGAAGACUCUGAAGCAGCUACCUCACUACUGGGGUCCUCGGUUUCUAGGGUCCGAACCUACACAGGUGGACUCAAAUGAGGGACCAACAUACACUAACAUGACUCAAAACAUCUCCCCAAAAACCCCCUAAAACAUCAUAAAACAAUCAUAGAAAACAUGCAAAGGAAGGCUGAACAGGGCCCUUUCGGCGGCAGGUUCGGCGGCCGAAAGUCCCUCCAGAGCCGAAACUCAGUCACCUUCGGCGGCAGGUUCGGCAGCCGAAAGUCCCCUCUAGAGUCGAAAGUCCAAACUUUCGGGGGCAGGGUUCGGCAACCGAACAUGGUUUCGGCUGUCGAACAUGGUUUCGGCCGCCGAACAUGGUUUCGGCUGUCGAACCUGAGUUCUUCCAGAAUGGCAGAACUCGAGCUCCUCUCCCAAAUUCAGCCAACCAAACCUCAAAACUCAAACCAAAAACAUGCAUAAGCACCCUCAAGCAUUUAGGGGCUUAGAACUAACCUAUACCCCAAAAACAACUCAUUUUAACAUACAAUAACAAACAAUGCCUCAAUUUAGUCACAAAAACCCUAACAUUUUACAACUAACCUAAUCAUGCAUCUUUAUCCCAUAACCCUUCAUAAAACUUGCUUAAAACAUCAAAGAUUAUGAGGAUCGAUGCUUACCUCUUGAAGAUCGAGAGAAGGCGUGACCCAACUUGGAGAUUUGGGGAAAACGGGUUUCGGGGUCUCCAAGCUUCAAAACUUUAUCUUUAGCUCAAAAUCUUCAAAACCAAGUUAAAACUUAUAAAAAACAUUAAUGAUUUGAAGGAAAUCAUCAAAACCAACCAUGGAAGGACAUGGACUCACCUUUGCCCGAAAAUAGGGAAGAAAACUCGCCCAUUUUCGGACAUGGGGCCUUUUAUAGGUGGCUGGCCAGACCACCUUCGGAGGCCAAAGGUGCUCCCUAAAGUGCACCAUGUUCGGCUGCCGAACAUGAGGUUCGGCGGCCGAACAUGAGGUUCGGCUGCCGAACCUGGAUUUCCUUCCUUGGUGCUUUUCUUUCAAAAACUCAAUUUCUUUCUUACUUAAAACCUUAAAACACAUGAAAACAUUUUAGAAAAACAUAUUUUACCCUUCUAGAGAUUUCUGACAUCCGAGAUUCCACCGGAAAAUAGAGAUUCCGAUGCCGGGGUCUAGCCGGGUAUUACAGUUCUUAUUGUUAUUCUUGUCUUCUUUAGCACGAUUUGGACUGGGCUUACCCAUCUACUGUCUGAAAUUGGAUAUAUUAUUCUGGCAUCGAGCAAUUUUAGUAUAUCCUUUUUUACAACUUCCAUCAUAGGUGGGUUCAAUAUUCUUUGUGCUUCCCUUUUUGGCUUACUAUUUUCUUCAAGGAGGAUCUUGUGCAUGCACGUAGAGGGACUUAACCCCUUAAGAUCUACGAUUGUCCACCCAACUGCUUCCUUAUACUCCUUCAGUACCUGAAUAAGCUUAUCUUCCUCACCUUUACUCAGUUUAUUAGAGACUAUGACCGAAAGGGAGUUUUCUUUCCCCAGGAAGACAUACUUCAAGUGCGUGGGAAGAGCCUUUAGCUCAAUUUCCAGUGCCUGAAGAAUUGAAGGGAGAAGUUUGUGGUGAGACUCGAGUAUUGAAAGUAAAUUAUAGGUACUUACCUUCUAGUAUUGGUGUAUCCAAUGAGUGGAUGGUCUCUAUGAUCUCUUCAUCGAACUGGGUUGUGCACUCGUCAAGGUAAUCUAAUGUCAAGUUUUCGGUUAGAACUACCUCCAACUUGUCUUCCUUGCUUAGUUCAAAUGCUUCUUGAGCGAGAGGUUCGAUUACAUCUAUGCUGCAAACAGAAAAGUUUUCAUCAGGAUAUUUUAUUGCAUCAUAGACAUUAAACUUUACCUCUUCUCUAUCAAACUCCAUUGUGAGCGUGCCUUCAUGCACAUCAAUCUUCGUUCUAGCUGUGCUAAGGAAUGGUUUGCCUAGCAAAAAAUCUGUAGAGUUAGAUGAAUUAUCGUCCUCCAUGUCGAGGAUGAAGAAGUCGGCUGGGAAGAUUAAUUUUCCCACUUGGACCAAAACAUCUUCCAAUACGCCUUUAGGAUAGACUAUUCCUAUUUGUUUCAACGGGCCUGCAUCCAAAGAUAAAUAAACUGAUAGAGGCAUAACAUUUAUGGAAGCUCCUAAGUCACACAUUGCCUUUUUGACUUCAAGGUUUCCUACUUUACAUGAUAUAGCAAACAUGCCUUUGUCUUUACAUUUUUGUGCAAUUUUUCUUUGGAGUACAGCUGACACAUUCUCCCCUACUUUAAUCUUUUUGUGACCAUACAAUUUUCUUUUAUUAGUGCAAAGUUCUUUUAGAAAUUUCGCAUACCUGGGUAUUUGCUUUAUGGUCUCAAUAAGGGGUAUGUUUACUUGAACUUUGUGAAAGAUCUCUAAGAUCUCUUUCUCUUCCUUUUCCCUCUUUGUUUGUGCAAGUCUUUCGGGAAAAGGUGGACGAAUUACCUGCAUUGGGGUUUGUUCUUCCUCAGAUUCUUGGGGUUGUUUCUCUUCUGGAAUUUCUAUUUCUGCUUCUACCUUCUGGUCUGCCGUACUACCUUGGGCAAGCCUCUUCGGGCUGGCAGACUCCAACUCCACGUAAUUGCGCUUGCAUUCUAUUUUGGAUUUGGCAUGGUUUGGGAGGGCAGUUUCCCUAGUGAUUCUAGCUUGCUUACUGAUGUAGCAAGUUGGCUCAUUUGAUUCUCCAAAUUUUGGAUGCUUGACUUUGUUUCCUGUUGAAAAGCAAGAGUGCUAUUAGCAAGGGAUUGAACAAUGUCUUCUAGAGACAUACCUGAUUUUGCAGCUUGAUAGUUAGUUCUUGGUUGGUAGUUCUGCUGUCUAUUCCCAUAGUUAAGGUUUGGAUGAUCUCUCCAUCCUGGAUUGUAAGUGCUUGAAAAUGGGUCAUACUUCCUUUGUUGUCCAUUGAAUUGUUGUUCAUUGAACCCUCCAAUGGUGUUUACCUGUUGCUCUCCUUCUUGAAGGAUAUGACACAAAUCUGUGAUAUGGUCAGAUUGUUUGCAAAUACCAUAAGUUCCUGCAUUGUUCCCUGCAGCCAAUUGUUGAAUUGCAGCCGUUAGUUGUGAGAUUUUAGAAUCUAAAAAUGCAAUACUUACUUCAUUGGCAUUUCUUUUAAUGUCCUCUUCUUGGCCAUAUUGUCUAGAAUUGGCGGCCAUUUUAGAGAUUAAGGUUUUACCUUCUUCAGGUUCCAUUUCUGAAAUGGCACCUCCAUUAGCAGCAUCAAUCAUCCUUCAUUCUAAUGGCAAAAGUCCUUCGUAGAAGUGAAGGUUAAACUGUUUUGGAGUGAUUCCAUGUUUUGGACAACUUGCAAUUAAUUUCUUAUACCUUUCCCAAUAUUCAUGUAAAGUUUCAUUUUUUUUUCUUUGUUUAAUUCCACUUAUUUCCUUUCUUAUUAAUGAUGCUUUGGUCGCUAGGAAAAAUCUUUUUAAGAAUAAGUCUCUAAUUUGCACCCAAGUGGUGAUUGAACCUGGGGGCAAAUAGUAGAGCCAAUCCUUAGCAGAUUCAAUUAAAGUGAAAGGGAAAGCUACCAACCUUAUUUAUUCAUCAGUUAUACCUUGUGGUCUCAUACUUGAACAAACCACAUAAAACUCCUUUAGAUGACGAUGGGGGUCUUUAUUCUCCAAACCUUGGAAUUUUGGUAACAUAUGAAUCAUACCUGUUCGUAAUUCCAAGGGUGCAUUCAGUACUGGGUAUGUGAUGCAAAGGGGUUGCUCUUCAGCAGCAGCAGCUACGGCCAUAUUGUAUCUUUGGUUUUUGUCAAUUGGAGGCUCGAUUAGUGUUGAAGAUAGGUCUCUUUGGUGCGCAAAGGGGAUCGGACAGAUGGUUGAGAGGCUCCCGAAUUGGCCUGUUUUUGCAACUUGGUUGCUUUCCUCAACCUUUUUGUAGUCUUCUCAAUUUCUGGAUCAAACUGAAUCCUACUAUUCUCAGAUCUAGUCAUAAAAACAAAAACAAAUUGUUAGAGAUCCCCGGCAACGGCGCCAAAAUUUGACAGAUGUCGAAUUCGUCAAUUUAAAAUUUACUUCCCUUUUCUCAAUUGACAAGAACUUGUAGACAGGGUAAGUGAGUAUCGAUCCCACAGAGACCUUAAUCUUGUUUAAUUUAGAUGACCAAUUUGGAAUAGAAGAAUAGUUUAAUUCAAAAAGUGAGUAGAAGAGAAUUUUUUGAUGAGAGGGGUUUUGCCUUGGGCAAGCCAAUAAAAAUAAACUUAAAAGAAAAAAAUGAAUAAUGUAAUUGAAAAUUGAGAAACAAAUAAUUAAUUAAAAUUUUCAGCUGAAGAUGAUCAAAUUGAGGUGUUCUGCAGUUGAUCAUUGAUUAAAAAAAGUAAUUCAUUUUAUUAUCUAUUGUUUGGUUAUAGUGGCCAAACACGCGAAUCCCAUCAAUUCUUCCUUAUGAAUAAAUUAAUCUGCUUCGCGCUUAAAUUAAUUCCUAGUUAACUAACAAUCCCAACACGCGUGUAGAUUUAAUUAGUCAACUGCUUUAAGAGAGAAGAACCCUAACUUGAUUAAUGAAAAUACAUGUUUUAUUUAAAUCAAAUCUGUCAAUUUCUUAACAUAAACUAAUAUGUUAAUUACUAUUUGUUAUUAACCCAAUUAAACAAUUACGGAUUUAAUCAGAUUAAUUAGCGAUAAGUUAUUUUUCCAAGAGAUUCAAUAGGUCUCUUGAAUUCUCAAGAAAACAACAAUAGAGGUGGUGUUCCUCGAAAUCAGAAAUUGACAAAAAAAAAUAGAAAUAAGAUGAAGAGAAUUAAGUGCAUAACCUCGAUACUUAAACAAACCUCAAUUUAAAUUCACCUUCAACUGAAAAUAGAUUGUUUAGUCACUCAUGGCCAUAAUAAAAUUAUAAAAAUUAAGCAAAAGGAGAAGAAGAAGAAAAGAAGAUGGAGAAGAAGGUGGGGGGCAACAAGAGAAGAAAUGAGAGUGAGAGGUAGAAUAUGAUUUUCCAGGUUGAAUGCUAGGAGCCUUUAUAUAGGCACAAAAAGAUAAAAUUUAAAAUAAAAUCUAUUAUCCC